AUUGAACGCUGGCGGCAGGCCUAACACAUGCAAGUCGAACGAGUGGCGGACGGGUGAGUAAUGUCUGGGAAACUGCCUGAUGGAGGGGGAUAACUACUGGAAACGGUAGCUAAUACCGCAUACAACGGAAUGUGCCCAAAUGGGAUUAGCUAGUAGGUGGGGUAAAGGCUCACCUAGGCGACGAUCCCUAGCUGGUCUGAGAGGAUGACCAGCCACACUGGAACUGAGACACGGUCCAGACUCCUACGGGAGGCAGCAGUGGGGAAUAUUGCACAAUGGGCGCAAGCCUGAUGCAGCCAUGCCGCGUGUAUGAAGAAGGCCUUCGGGUUGUAAAGUACUUUCAGCGGGGAGGCGUUACCCGCAGAAGAAGCACCGGCUAACUCCGUGCCAGCAGCCGCGGUAAUUC
rnacentral:rRNA from 1 species